UUUCCGUAGGUGAACCUGCGGAAGGAUCAUUACAGUAGUCACCCAGGUUGCCGCAAGGCCUCCUGGGUAACCUACCACCCUUUGUUUAUUACACUUUGUUGCUUUGGCAAGCCUGCCCUCGGGCUGCUGGCUCCGGCCGGCGAGCGCUUGCCAGAGGACCUAACUCUGUUUGUCUAUACUGUCUGAGUACUAUAUAAUAGUUAAAACUUUCAACAACGGAUCUCUUGGUUCUG
rnacentral:misc_RNA from 1 species